rnacentral:rRNA from 1 species
AGGACGAACGCUGGCGGCGUGCUUAACACAUGCAAGUCGAGCGGUGAUCCUCCUUCGGGAGGUGAUCAGCGGCGAACGGGUGAGUAACACGUGGGCAACCUGCCCCUCACACUGGGAUAACCUCGGGAAACCGGGGCUAAUACCGGAUACGACCUCGAGCGGCAUCUCUUGAGGUGGAAAGCUCCGACGGUGAGGGAUGGGCCCGCGGCCUAUCAGCUUGGUUGGUGGGGUAAUGGCCUACCAAGGCGACGACGGGU